rnacentral:rRNA from 1 species
GUGUCAGCAGCCGCGGUAAGACGAACCGUGCGAACGUUGUUCGGAAUCACUGGGCUUAAAGGGCGCGUAGGCGGCUUGCCAAGUCCGGGGUGAAAUCCUGCAGCUUAACUGUAGAAGGGCCUUGGAUACUGGCGAGCUCGAGGGAGGUAGGGGUGCGUGGAACUUCUGGUGGAGCGGUGAAAUGCGUUGAUAUCAGAAGGAACGCCGGGGGCGAAAGCGACGCACUGGAUCUCUUCUGACGCUGAGGCGCGAAAGCUAGGGGAGCAAACGGGAUUAGAUACCCCGGUAGUCCUAGCCCUAAACGAUGGGCACUAGAUUGCGGGCUUAUCAUGGGUUCGCAAUCGAAGCAAAAGUGUUAAGUGCCCCGCCUGGGGAGUAUGGUCGCAAGGCUGAA